rnacentral:rRNA from 1 species
GGUUAAAAAGCUCGUAGUUGGAUCUCGGCAAGUAGAGGGCGGUAUGCUUCGUAGCAUUACUGCCCUAUUACUUGUAGUUUUGCCAGAGGUUCCUGGUGCUCUUAAUCGAGUGUCUAGGGAUGCUGGCAGGUUUACUUUGAAAAAAUUAGAGUGCUCAAAGCAGGCUAUUACGCUUGAAUAUUCGUGCAUGGAAUAAUAGAAUAGGAAGUUGUUUCUAUUUUGUUGGUUUUCGGAAAUCGACUUAAUGAUUAAUAGGGACAGUCGGGGGCAUUUGUAUUCAAACGACAGAGGUGAAAUUCUUGGACCGUUUGAAGACAAACUACUGCGAAAGCAUUUGCCAAGAAGGUUUUCAUUAAUCAAGAACGAAAGUUAGAGGUUCGAAGGCGAUUAGAUACCGCCCUAGUUCUAACCAUAAACGAUGCCAGCUAGCGAUCUGAGGACGUUUUUUUUGUAGACUCCUCAGGAAGCUUCCGGGAAAACCAAAGCGUGUGGGUUCCGGGGGAAGUAUGGUUGCGAAGCUGGAAACUUAAGGAAUUGACGGAAGGGCACCCCCAGGAGUGGA